GACCAGGUAGCUCAGCGGUAGAGUGUCCGUCCAGAAUUCGGAGGGUCCUGGGUUCGAACCCCAGUCUGGUUA